CAGAUUCUAUAUUUGAAAAGCUUUUUAAAGCUCACCUGCAUACCUUUCUGAGUAAGCAAGGAGAAUUUGGAUUUAUGGCCUUCCCCAUCCUGACAGAAGUUUUCCCGUGCUUCUUACCCCUUCUGUAAGAGGCUCUGGACCUGACCCUCCUGGGAUGAGUUGAGACGCCUUUGUGUCAGGCCCACCCUAACCUGUAUCCCUGGACUACCAAGGUGGCGCUGAUGGUGUGGUGGAGUCUGGACAGGUUGGGGGACAGGGGAGGCACAGUAAGGUUGGGCUCCUCCUUUCGGGGAGGGAUUGGGGAGGACUCUCUGUCCCGAUUGGUGUACAGCAAUGAGGAAGGAUAAGAGCUAUAAAAAAGAGCGGCACGGGGUGGUUCGGGGAGACACGGCUGACUUGUAGCAUCAAUAAACAUCACUGUUUUAUCAA